rnacentral:rRNA from 1 species
UACGAGGGGGGCGAGCGUUGUUCGGAAUUAUUGGGCGUAAAGGGUGCGUAGGCGGUUUGGUAAGUCUUAUGUGAAAUCUAUGGGCUCAACUCAUAGUCUGCAUGAGAAACUGCCGGGCUUGAGUAUGGGAGAGGUGAGUGGAAUUCCUGGUGUAGCGGUGAAAUGCGUAGAUAUCAGGAGGAACACCGGUGGCGAAGGCGGCUCACUGGCUCAUAACUGACGCUCAUGCACGACAGCGUGGGGAUCAAACAGG